GACGAACGCUGGCGGCGUGCCUAACACAUGCAAGUCGAACGGCAAGGCCCUGCGUUUGUGGGGUGCUCGAGUGGCGAACGGGGGAGUAACACGUGAGUAACCUGCCCUUGACUUUGGGAUAACUUCAGGAAACUGGGGCUAAUACCGGACAGGAGCUCCUGUUGCAUGGUGGGGGUUGGAAAGUCUCGGCGGGUGGGGAUGGAUUCGCGGCUGAUCAGCUUGUUGGUGGGGUAGUGGCUGACCAAGGCUGGGACGGGUAGCCGGCCUGGGAGGGUGACCGGCCUCCUUGGUCCUGCGGUACGGCCCAGUCUCCUACGGUGGGCAGCGGUGGCAAAUCUUGCACAGUGGGCGGGCGCCUGAUGCAGCGACGCCGCGUGCGGGAUGCCGGCCUUCGGGUUGUGAACCGCUUUCGCCUAUGACGCAGCGUGAGUGACGGUAAUGGGUAAAGAAGCACCGGCUAACUACGUG
rnacentral:rRNA from 1 species